UACGAACUGUGCAACCGUUAUUCGGAAUCACUGGGCUUAAAGGGUGCGUAGGCGGUCGUUUAAGUAGGGUGUGAAAGCCCUCGGCUCAACCGAGGAAUUGCGCCCUAAACUGGAUGGCUGGAGUGAGAUAGGGGUGUGUGGAACUUCCGGUGGAGCGGUGAAAUGUGUUGAUAUCGGAAGGAACGCCGGUGGCGAAAGCGACACGCUGGGCCGUACCUGACACUGAGGCGCGAUAGCAUGGGGAGCAAACAGG
rnacentral:rRNA from 1 species